UACGGGGGGGGCAAGCGUUGUUCGGAAUUACUGGGCGUAAAGGGUUCGUAGGUGGCCAACUAAGUCAGACGUGAAAUCCCUCAGCUUAACUGGGGAACUGCGUCUGAGACUGGAUGGCCGUUGAGUGCAGGAGAGGAACGCGGAAUUCCAGGUGUAGCGGUGAAAUGCGUAGAUAUCUGGAGGAACACCGGUGGCGAAGGCGGCGUUCUGGACUGCUACUGACACUGAGGAACGAAAGCCAGGGGAGCAAACGGG
rnacentral:rRNA from 1 species